ACUCCUACGGGAGGCAGCAGUGGGGAAUCUUGCGCAAUGGGCGAAAGCCUGACGCAGCCAUGCCGCGUGAAUGAUGAAGGUCUUACGAUUGUAAAAUUCUUUCACCGGGGACGAUAAUGACGGUACCCGGAGAAGAAGCCCCGGCUAACUUCGUGCCAGCAGCCGCGGUAAU
rnacentral:rRNA from 1 species